GCUAUUUUGACAGAAUUAAUGUGAUGAAUUUAGAAUUCAUUUAUGUAUUUAUUUUAAUACAGGUAGUA
rnacentral:tRNA from 1 species